rnacentral:tRNA from 1 species
GCCUGGGUAGCUCAGUUGGUUAGAGCAUGGUGCUGAUAAUGCCAAGGUUGCAGGUUCAAUCCCCAUAUGGGACA